AUGUCCACCGCGGAGGUCGCUCGGCAAGCGCCAGAUGGUGCCCGCUCUGUCCCUCUCUCUGGCCAUGUGGGCUUUGACAGCAUGCCCGACCAGCUGGUCAACAAGUCCGUUGGCCAGGGGUUCUGCUUCAACAUCCUUUGUGUGGGCGAGACUGGCGUGGGGAAGUCCACGCUCAUGGAUACCCUGUUCAAUACCAAGUUUGAGGGGGACCCCACCAAGCACAGCCAGCCCAGUGUGCAGCUGAGAUCCAGCACCUACGAGCUGCAGGAGAGCAAUGUCCGUCUCAAGCUGACCGUGGUCAACACCGUGGGCUUUGGCGACCAGAUCAACAAGGAGGAAAGUUAUAAACCCAUCGUGGAUUUCAUCGACGAGCAGUUCGAGGCCUACCUGCAGGAGGAGCUGAAGAUCAAACGGACGCUGCACAGCUACCACGACACUCGCAUCCACGCUUGCCUCUACUUCAUCGCCCCCACCGGCCACUCGCUGAAGUCCCUGGACCUGGUCACCAUGAAGAAGCUGGACAGCAAGGUGAACAUUAUCCCUGUCAUUGCCAAGUCGGAUGCCAUCACCAAGAUCGAACUUGCCAAGUUCAAGAUCAAAAUCUGCAGUGAGCUGGUCAGCAAUGGCGUCCAGAUCUAUCAGUUCCCCACCGAUGAUGAGACAGUGGCUGAGAUCAACUCCGCGAUGAACGGUCACCUGCCAUUUGCUGUGGUGGGAAGUACAGAGGAGUUGAAGAUCGGGAACAAGAUGAUGAAGGCAAGGCAGUAUCCCUGGGGAACGGUGCAGGUGGAGAACGAGAAUCACUGUGACUUUGUGAAGCUGAGGGAGAUGCUGAUUCGCGUGAACAUGGAGGACCUGCGGGAGCAGACACACGCCCGCCACUAUGAGCUGUACCGCCGCUGCAAGCUGGAGGAGAUGGGCUUCAAGGACACGGACCCCGACAGCAAGCCCUUCAGCCUCCAGGAGACCUACGAGGCCAAGAGGAACGAGUUCAUGGGUGAACUUCAGAGGAAGGAGGAGGAGAUGAGGCAGAUGUUUGUUCUCCGAGUCAAGGAGAAGGAGGCCGAGCUAAAGGAAGCAGAGAAGGAGCUGCAUGAGAAGUUUGACCGGCUGAAGAAACUGCAUCAGGAAGAGAAGAAGAAGGUGGAGGACAGGAAGAAGCUUCUUGACGAUGAUCUGAAUCAGUUCAAGCAGAAGAAGAUGGCCAUGGAGCUGCUGCAGUCCCAGGGCCAGCAGGCUGGGGGCAGCACCACGCUCAAGAAGGACAAGGAGAGGAAAAAUUAACCUCUGCUCACUGCAUGCUUCAUGAGAGACACCGUCCUGGUAAGGCCACCCCCUAACAUCCCGUCAGUUAUGUGACCUUCCAGGGUCCCAAGAACAUUCACCCACUUCUUUUAAUGCAUCCGAAAGAGGAGAUUGCAGCUUUCCCAAGAGCUAGACAGCUCUCCACUUUUCUCCUCUCCUUUUAUUUAGCAUAGUAAUAAAACUUUUUAUUCCAUCUAUUCAACUCAACACAACCAUAUGUGGGCCAUACAUGGUUAUUUUGACUAGAGAACAUUUAACUUCUCUGUAAGAUACAUUACAGUGAGAGAGUCUGAAGUUACUUCCCUUAAAGAGAGAUUCAACACAAUGAUCCUCUCUUGAGCCUACAAUAGUGAUGGGGUCCCUCGUUGACUUAAAGCAGAUACCUUUGGCUGCUGCGGACUCUUUUAACCACCCAUCAUGAUGUUUUGCCCAUUCUAGGGUUGUCAUUAACAAAACUUUAUCAAAUGCCAUGUUGGCCCCAUAUGGUUUUAAUUUGUUUUCUAAUGUCUUCCAAUUACUUGUGUUCAUUGUAAUACAUGUCAGUCUUAACUCUGCUUAAGUCUUGACUGAAUCACCUUUUUCUUUUGAGUCGGACUUCCAAGUAUCUUUUGUCUUUUAUUUGCCAGAGUUAGGUAUUCAUUUUCCAAUCUUUAUAAAUUGACAGUGAUUUAUAUUCGUAUGAUAUAUGGAUCUAUUUUGUGUAUGAAUCCACAUCAAAUAUUUUUUGAUGUGGAGACUCCUGUAAUGAUUAUUGAUUCCAAUGACGUUUUUGUGUAGCUUUGUGGUGAUGUUAAAUGUUAUGGCAUGUAAGGAACAGCCUGCAGCUGCUAAGCAUGUAACAAACCACAAAGCCUGAAAUAUUACACUGAAGUAAGAUGCCAGUAGUGUACAUUUUCAAUAAAACUGUUAAAAAAUA